GAUGAACGCUGGCGGCGUGCUUAACACAUGCAAGUCGAACGAAAUACCUGUGAACGAGUUUCGGACAAGGGAUCAGGUGUUUAGUGGCGGACGGGUGAGUAACGCGUGAGUAACCUGCCUUGGAGUGGGGAAUAACACAGCGAAAGCUGUGCUAAUACCGCAUAACGCAACGGAAUCGCAUGGUUCUGUUGCCAAAGAUUUAUCGCUCUGAGAUGGACUCGCGUCUGAUUAGCUAGUUGGUGAGGUAGUGGCUCACCAAGGCGACGAUCAGUAGCCGGACUGAGAGGUUGAACGGCCACAUUGGGACUGAGACACGGCCCAGACUCCUACGGGAGGCAGCAGUGGGGAAUAUUGGGCAAUGGGCGCAAGCCUGACCCAGCAACGCCGCGUGAAGGAAGAAGGCUUUCGGGUUGUAAACUUCUUUUAUUUAGGACGAAAAAAAUGACGGUACUAGAUGAAUAAGCCACGGCUAACUACGUG
rnacentral:rRNA from 1 species